GCUGAUAUGGCUCAGUUGGUAGAGCGCACCCUUGGUAAGGGUGAGGUCCCCAGUUCGACUCUGGGUAUCAGCACCACUU
rnacentral:tRNA from 1 species